rnacentral:rRNA from 1 species
AUCAACUUUCGAUGGUAGGAUAGAGGCCUACCAUGGUGGUAACGGGUAACGGGGUGUUAGGGCACGACACCGGAGAGGGAGCCUGAGAAGCGGCUACCACAUCCAAGGAUGGCAGCAGGCGCGCAAAUUACCCAAUCCCGACACGGGGAGGUAGUGACAAUAAAUAACAAUACGGGGUUCUUUCGGAUUUCGUAAUUGGAAUGAGUACAAUUUAAAUCUCUUAACGAGGAACAAUUGGAGGGCAAGUCUGGUGCCAGCAGCCGCGGUAAUUCCAGCUCCAAUAGCGUAUAUUAAAGUUGCUGCAGUUAAAAAGCUCGUAGUUGAAUUUCGGGACCAAUAUGUCGGUCGUGCCUCGGUACGUACUGGCAUCGUUGGUUUCUCCCUUCUGACGAACCAUGAUGUCAUUCAUUUGGUGUCGUGGGGAAUCAGGACUGUUACUUUGAAAAAAUUAGAGUGUUUAAAGCAGGCUCACGCUUGAAUACAUUAGCAUGGAAUAAUGAAAUAGGACGUUUGAUUCUAUUUUGUUGGUUUCUAGGAUCGACGUAAUGAUUAAUAGGGAUAGUUGGGGGCAUUAGUAUUCAAUUGUCAGAGGUGAAAUUCUUGGAUUUAUUGAAGACUAACUACUGCGAAAGCAUUUGCCAAGGAUGUUUUCAUUAAUCAAGAACGAAAGUUAGGGGAUCGAAGACGAUCAGAUACCGUCGUAGUCUUAACCAUAAACUAUGCCGACUAGGGAUCGGAUGAUGUUAAUUUUUUAAUGACUCAUUCGGCGCCUUACGGGAAACCAAAGUGUUUGGGUUC